rnacentral:lncRNA from 1 species
UUGUUUCUCCAGUUAAUAUACUUGUUUGCUGGGCUCACGCCUUUAAUCCCAGAACUCGGGAGGCAGAGGCAGGCGGAUCUCUAUGAGUCCGAGACCAGCCUGCUCUACAAGAGCUAGUUCCAGCACAGCCUCCAAAGCCACAGAAAAGACCUGUCACACAAAAGAAGAUACUUGUUGUUUUUGUGAAGGACCCAGAUACAAGAUAUCCUAGUAAUAAAGAGAAACUAAGAUUGCUGACAUCUCUUCCAGCCUGAAUAACUCAGAGUUACAAAACUGUUUUUAACAUGACUAUCUAAUUGAGGUACCUGACUUGAUUAGGUACAUGAUUCAGUCUAGCACCGACUAGCUCUAUACUCAUUCA